rnacentral:rRNA from 1 species
UCGAACGGCAGCACGGGAGCAAUCCUGGUGGCGAGUGGCGAACGGGUGAGUAAUAUAUCGGAACGUGCCCAGUCGUGGGGGAUAACGCAGCGAAAGCUGUGCUAAUACCGCAUACGAUCUAUGGAUGAAAGCGGGGGAUCGCAAGACCUCGCGCGAUUGGAGCGGCCGAUAUCAGAUUAGGUUGUUGGUGGGGUAAAAGCCCACCAAGCCGACGAUCUGUAGCUGGUCUGAGAGGACGACCAGCCACACUGGAACUGAGACACGGUCCAGACUCCUACGGGAGGCAGCAGUGGGGAAUUUUGGACAAUGGGCGCAAGCCUGAUCCAGCAAUGCCGCGUGCAGGAUGAAGGCCUUCGGGUUGUAAACUGCUUUUGUACGGAACGAAACGGUCCGCUCUAAUACAGCGGGCUAAUGACGGUACCGUAAGAAUAAGCACCGGCUAACUACGUGCCAGCAGCCGCGGUAAUACGUAGGGUGCGAGCGUUAAUCGGAAUUACUGGGCGUAAAGCGUGCGCAGGCGGUUAUAUAAGACAGAUGUGAAAUCCCCGGGCUCAACCUGGGACCUGCAUUUGUGACUGUAUAGCUAGAGUGCGGCAGAGGGGGAUGGAAUUCCGCGUGUAGCAGUGAAAUGCGUAGAUAUGCGGAGGAACACCGAUGGCGAAGGCAAUCCCCUGGGCCUGCACUGACGCUCAUGCACGAAAGCGUGGGGAGCAAACAGGAUUAGAUACCCUGGUAGUCCACGCCCUAAACGAUGUCAACUGGUUGUUGGGUCUUCACUGACUCAGUAACGAAGCCUAACCGC